UACGUAGGGUGCAAGCGUUGUCCGGAAUUAUUGGGCGUAAAGAGCUCGUAGGCGGUUUGUCGCGUCUGCUGUGAAAACUCGGGGCUUAACCCCGGGCCUGCAGUGGGUACGGGCAGACUAGAGUGCGGUAGGGGAGACUGGAAUUCCUGGUGUAGCGGUGGAAUGCGUAGAGAUCCGGAGGAAGACCGGUGGCGAAGGCGGCCUGCUGGGCAGUUACUGACACUGAGGCGCGACAGCGUGGGGAGCAAACAGG
rnacentral:rRNA from 1 species